rnacentral:rRNA from 1 species
UACGUAGGGUGCGAGCGUUAAUCGGAAUUACUGGGCGUAAAGCGUGCGCAGGCGGUUGUGCAAGACAGAUGUGAAAUCCCCGGGCUUAACCUGGGAAUGGCAUUUGUGACUGCACGGCUAGAGUGUGUCAGAGGGGGGUAGAAUUCCACGUGUAGCAGUGAAAUGCGUAGAUAUGUGGAGGAACACCGAUGGCGAAGGCAGCCCCCUGGGAUAACACUGACGCUCAUGCACGAAAGCGUGGGGAGCAAACAGG